GAGAUAGUAGUCAAGUGGUAAGACAACAGCAAAAUAAUAAGGUUUGUUAAAAUCUUAUACAGCAAUGUUAAAAGGCAAGCUGUAAUCGUAGGUUCGAGUCCUAUCUAUCUUCCU
rnacentral:tRNA from 1 species